CGUCUUCCCAUUUCUAGAGCGCAAGCAAAAGAGAAUGAGAGACCACAUUUCCUAGGAUGCCCUUCGGUGCGUUCAGCCUCACUUCCCCCUUAGGCGGAUAGAAGGAUACAGGGAAGCCUGGUAAAAACAGAAUUAAAGGGAAUGGGUGUCGGAAGCGGAGGGUCUGAAGUUCACGACUCCUAGAAGGGGAGGGGAAUGAAAGGCUCUCAGUGAAGAAGAGAGCGAGCAAGCACAAGCAGGGGGAGUGGCAGGCAGAGGAAGAAGCAGGCUCCCCGCCAAGCAAGGACCCCGACGUGGGACUCGGAUCCCAGGAUCCCGGCUGGGAUCAUGACCCAAGCUGAAGGCAGACGCUUAACCAACCGAGCCACCCAGGCAUCCCAAGGGGCAAUGAUAUCAACCAUACCAAGUUCAGUCCAGAACCCUUCAGAUCAACUUACCAAUAAGUUCAAUAUGUAAAACAGACCAAUAUGGCUGAAAUGGAAAUGAAUGAGAGUUAAUGCAACUUGCCAGCAGUGCUUACCCCCAUUCCCACCUCCCCACAAGGUGUACUUUGAAAACCACUGGAAAAACCCAGCCCCUCAUAAAUGUCUUGAAGUGCCCCAUCUGUAACAUGCUACAUUAAAAUGUUUACUUAUCCCAA